UGGGGAAUAUUGCACAAUGGGGGAAACCCUGAUGCAGCAACGCCGCGUGAAGGAAGACGGUUUUCGGAUUGUAAACUUCUUUUCUUAGUGAAGAAGCAAGUGACGGUAGCUAAGGAAUAAGCAUCGGCUAACUACGUGCCAGCAGCCGCGGUAAUACGUAGGAUGCGAGCGUUAUCCGGAAUUACUGGGUGUAAAGGGAGCGCAGGCGGGACUGCAAGUUGGAUGUGAAAUACCGCAGCUUAACUGCGGAGCUGCAUCCAAAACUGUAGUUCUUGAGUGGAGUAGAGGCAAGCGGAAUUCCGAGUGUAGCGGUGAAAUGCGUAGAUAUUCGGAGGAACACCAGUGGCGAAGGCGGCUUGCUGGGCUCUAACUGACGCUGAGGCUCGAAAGUGUGGGGAGCAAACAGGAUUAGAUACC
rnacentral:rRNA from 1 species